GACGAACGCUGGCGGCGUGCUUAACACAUGCAAGUCGAACGAAGAGCGAUGGAAGCUUGCUUCUAUCAAUCUUAGUGGCGAACGGGUGAGUAACGCGUAAUCAACCUGCCCUUCAGAGGGGGACAACAGUUGGAAACGACUGCUAAUACCGCAUACGAUCUAAUCUCGGCAUCGAGGAUAGAUGAAAGGUGGCCUCUACAUGUAAGCUAUCACUGAAGGAGGGGAUUGCGUCUGAUUAGCUAGUUGGAGGGGUAACGGCCCACCAAGGCGAUGAUCAGUAGCCGGUCUGAGGAGAUGAACGGCCACAUUGGGACUGAGACACGGCCCAGACUCCUACGGGAGGCAGCAGUGGGGAAUCUUCCGCAAUGGACGAAAGUCUGACGGAGCAACGCCGCGUGAGGGAUGACGGCCUUCGGGUUGGAAAGCUCUGUUAAUCGGGACGAAAGGCCUUCUUGCGAAUAGUGAGAAGGAUUGACGGUACCGGAAGAGAAAGCCACGGCUAACUACGUG
rnacentral:rRNA from 1 species